rnacentral:rRNA from 1 species
CCUACGGGUGGCUGCAGUGGGGAAUUUUGGACAAUGGGCGCAAGCCUGAUCCAGCCAUUCCGCGUGAGUGAAGAAGGCCUUCGGGUUGUAAAGCUCUUUCGCAAGGGAAGAAAACUUAUCCUCUAACAUAGGAUGAGGUUGACGGUACCUUGAUAAGAAGCACCGGCUAACUACGUGCCAGCAGCCGCGGUAAUACGUAGGGGGCGAGCGGUAAUCGGAAUUUCUGGGCGGUGUUUGGUAGGAGGCUGUUUCAAUCCCCGAGCUCAACUUGGGAACUGCGUUUGAAACUACAAGACUAGAAUAGGUCAGAGGGGGGUAGAAUUCCACGUGUAGCAGUGAAAUGCGUAGAGAUGUGGAGGAAUAUCAAUGGCGAAGGCAGCCCCCUGGGAUCAUAUUGACGCUCAUGCACGAAAGCGUGGGGAGCAAACAGGAUUAGAUACCCUAGUAGUC